ACGGAAGAAGGGGACUACCAGGUCAAGCUACGCAACCUGGUGCGUUUCCUGAGUGACGGGGACAGGGCCAAGGUAUCUUUGCGAUUCCGUGGCCGUGAGAUGGCCCAUCAGGAGCUGGGGAUGGAGCUGUUGAAGCGGGUCGAAAACGAUCUCGCUGAAUAUGGCUCGGUCGAACAGCAUCCGAAGAUGGAAGGACGCCAGCUGAUCAUGGUCAUCGCUCCCAAGAAGAAAAAGUAACCCCCAGGGCACUGGCAGGCCUUGCGGUUAUUUGUAAUCACCCACAAUGUGGAGUACCGAACAUGCCAA
rnacentral:misc_RNA from 1 species